AGGACAAACGCUGGCGGCGUACCUAAGACAUGCAAGUCGAACGGGCGCUUCACCUUCGGGUGGGUGUGCUAGUGGCGGACGGGUGAGUAACGCGUAGGAACCUGUCAUCAAGAGGGGGAUAACGCUGGGAAACCGGCGCUAAUACCGCAUGUGGUCAUGAAAAUGAAGAAAGCAGCAAUGCGCUUGAUGAGGGGCCUGCGUCCGAUUAGCUUGUUGGUGGGGUAAAGGCCUACCAAGGCAUCGAUCGGUAGCUGGUCUGAGAGGAUGGUCAGCCACACUGGGACUGAGACACGGCCCAGACUCCUACGGGAGGCAGCAGUUAGGAAAUUUUCCCAAUGGGCGCAAGCCUGAGGGAGUAACGCCGCGUGGAGGAUGACGGCUUUCGGGUUGUAAACUCCUUUUCUGUGGGAAGAGUAGAAGACGGUACCGCAGGAAUAAGCCUCGGCUAACUACGCGCCAGCAGCCGC
rnacentral:rRNA from 1 species